rnacentral:rRNA from 1 species
CCUACGGGAGGCAGCAGUAGGGAAUCUUCCGCAAUGGACGAAAGUCUGACGGAGCAACGCCGCGUGAGUGAUGAAGGCUUUCGGGUCGUAAAACUCUGUUGUUAGGGAAGAACAAGUGCUAGUUGAAUAAGCUGGCACCUUGACGGUACCUAACCAGAAAGCCACGGCUAACUACGUGCCAGCAGCCGCGGUAAUACGUAGGUGGCAAGCGUUAUCCGGAAUUAUUGGGCGUAAAGCGCGCGCAGGUGGUUUCUUAAGUCUGAUGUGAAAGCCCACGGCUCAACCGUGGAGGGUCAUUGGAAACUGGGAGACUUGAGUGCAGAAGAGGAAAGUGGAAUUCCAUGUGUAGCGGUGAAAUGCGUAGAGAUAUGGAGGAACACCAGUGGCGAAGGCGACUUUCUGGUCUGUAACUGACACUGAGGCGCGAAAGCGUGGGGAGCAAACAGGAUUAGAUACCCUGGUAGUCCACGCCGUAAACGAUGAGUGCUAAGUGUUAGAGGGUUUCCGCCCUUUAGUGCUGAAGUUAACGCAUUAAGCACUCCGCCUGGGGAGUACGGCCGCAAGGCUGAAACUCAAAGGAAUUGACG